AGAGUUUGAUCAUGGCUCAGAACGAACGCUGGCGGCGUGGAUAAGACAUGCAAGUCGAGCGGGAUUUCUUUCUGUAGCAAUACAGAGAGAAGCCCAGCGGCGAACGGGUGCGUAACACGUGGGCAAUCUGUCUUAAAGUGGGGGAUAGCUCGGCGAAAGCCGAAUUAAUACCGCAUGUGAUCAGGGAAGACAUCUUUCCGAAAUCAAAGGUGGCGCAAGCUACCGCUUUUUGAGGGGCCCGCGGCCUAUCAGCUUGUUGGUGAGGUAACGGCUCACCAAGGCUAUGACGGGUAGCUGGUCUGAGAGGACGACCAGUCACACUGGGACUGAGACACGGCCCAGACACCUACGGGUGGCAGCAGUCGAGAAUUUUUGACAAUGGGGGAAACCCUGAUCGAGCGACGCCGCGUGGAGGAUGAAGGUCUUCGGGUUGUAAACUCCUGUCAUUUGGGAACAAGGCGCACGUAUUAACUGUACGUACGUUGAUAGUACCAGAAGAGGAAGAGACGGCUAACUCUGUGCCAGCAGCCGCGGUAAUACAGAGGUCUCAAGCGUUGUUCGGAUUCAUUGGGCGUAAAGGGUGUGUAGGUGGCGCCGUAAGUCGGGUGUGAAAUUUCGGAGCUUAACUCCGAAACUGCAUUCGAUACUGCGGUGCUUGAGGACUGGAGAGGAGACUGGAAUUUACGGUGUAGCAGUGAGAUGCGUAGAUAUCGUAAGGAAGACCAGUGGCGAAGGCGGGUCUCUGGACAGUUCCUGACACUGAGACACGAAGCCAGGGGAGCAAACGGGAUUAGAUACCCUAGUAGUCC
rnacentral:rRNA from 1 species